rnacentral:rRNA from 1 species
AACGCACCUUGCGCCCUUUGGCUAUUCCGAAGGGCAUGCCUGUUUGAGUAUCAUGAACACCUCAACCCUCAUGGUUUACCAUGAUGGGCUUGGACUUUGGGGGUUUUGCUGGAUUAUAGUCAGCUCCCCUUAAAUUAAUUAGCUUGCCGGUGUUUGGUGGCAUCACAGGUGUGAUAACUAUCUACGCUUGUGGUUUUACAUCAGGUAACCUUCAGAGAUGGGGGUUCACUGGGGCUCACAAAAGGUGUCUCUCCUCUGUGAGGAUGGCUCUUUGAAUGUUUGAUCUCAAAUCAGGUAGGACUACCCGCUGAACUUA